GACGAACGCUGGCGGCGUGCCUAAUGCAUGCAAGUCGCACGCGGCACCUUCGGGUGCUGAGUGGCGAACGGCUGAGGAACACGUGGGGACCUGUCCGGGAGUGGGGGACAACACCGCGAAAGCGGUGCUAAUCUCGCAUACGCUCUGAGGAGGAAAGCCGAAAGGCGCUCCCGGGUGGCCCUGCGGCCCAUCAGGUUGUGGGUGGGGUAACGGCCUACCAAGCCAAUGACGGGUCGCUGGACUGUGAGGACGACCAGCCAGGCUGGGACUGGGACCCGGCCCUGACACCUACGGGAGGGCGCAGCAAGGAAUUUUGGGGCACGGGCGCCAGACGGACCGAGCCACGCCGCGUGCAGGAAGACGGCCUUCGGGAUGGAAACUGCUUUUGCUACGGAUGCUAACCGACAGUACCUGGAGAAUAAGCCCCGGCUAACUCCGUG
rnacentral:rRNA from 1 species